rnacentral:lncRNA from 1 species
UUGAGAGGGACUUUUUUGGAAGAUUAACACCCCAUUAUAUAAGCCAGCCAAUUCUCUUAUUUCGGUAAGGAUUUUUGUGAGAAGGGGAUCCCGAUCACCGCCCUCUAUCCCCUCUCGUUCUCUCUUGUGCUCUCGGUCUUCCGGCAACAGCAAGCAUCUGUUUUUGAUCUUCCGCUUGCAGGAGACCUUCCUUCUACCGUGACUCCUCUCUGUGGCUUCUCAUUUUCGUGAGUUCUUGUUCUUGCUGUU